UAGGGAAUAUUGGACAAUGGGGGCAACCCUGAUCCAGCCAUGCCGCGUGAGUGAAGAAGGCCCUCGGGUUGAAAAGCUCUUCUGUCCGGAAAGAAAAGCUUCGGGUUAAUACCCCGGGGUUCUGACGGUACCGGAAGAAUAAGCACCGGCUAACUUCGUGCCAGCAGCCGCGGUAAUACGAAGGGUGCAAGCGUUACUCGGAAUUACUGGGCGUAAAGCGUGCGUAGGUGGUUGUUUAAGUCUGAUGUGAAAGCCCUGGGCUCAACCUGGGAAUGGCAUUGGAAACUGGGCAGCUAGAGUGCGGUAGAGGGUAGUGGAAUUCCCGGUGUAGCAGUGAAAUGCGUAGAGAUCGGGAGGAACAUCUGUGGCGAAGGCGACUGCCUGGACCAGCACUGACACUGAGGCACGAAAGCGUGGGGAGCAAACA
rnacentral:rRNA from 1 species